GAACGCGAAGAACCUUACCUGGUCUUGACAUGUACGGAAUCCUUCAGAAGACGGAGGAGUGCCUUCGGGAGCCGUAACACAGGUGCUGCAUGGCUGUCGUCAGCUCGUGUCGUGAGAUGUUGGGUUAAGUCCCGCAACGAGCGCAACCCUUGUCAUUAGUUGCCAUCAUUAAGUUGGGCACUCUAAUGAGACUGCCGGUGACAAGCCGGAGGAAGGUGGGGAUGACGUCAAGUCCUCAUGGCCCUUAUGACCAGGGCUUCACACGUCAUACAAUGGUCGGUACAGAGGGUAGCCAAGCCGCGAGGUGGAGCCAAUCUCACAAAACCGAUCGUAGUCCGGAUUGCACUCUGCAACUCGAGUGCAUGAAGUCGGAAUCGCUAGUAAUCGCAGGUCAGCAUACUGCGGUGAAUACGUUCCCGGGUCUUGUACACACC
rnacentral:rRNA from 1 species